rnacentral:rRNA from 1 species
GAUGAACGCUGGCGGCGUGCUUAACACAUGCAAGUCGAACGGAAAGGCCCAAGCUUGCUUGGGUACUCGAGUGGCGAACGGGUGAGUAACACGUGGGUGAUCUGCCCUGCACUUCGGGAUAAGCCUGGGAAACUGGGUCUAAUACCGGAUAGGACGAUGGUUUGGAUGCCAUUGUGGAAAGUCUUUUCGGUGUGGGAUGAGCUCGCGGCCUAUCAGCUUGUUGGUGGGGUAAUGGCCUACCAAGGCGUCGACGGGUAGCCGGCCUGAGAGGGUGUACGGCCACAUUGGGACUGAGAUACGGCCCAGACUCCUACGGGAGGCAGCAAUGGGGAAUAUUGCACAAUGGGCGCAAGCCUGAUGCAGCGACGCCGCGUGGGGGAUGACGGCCUUCGGGUUGUAAACUCCUUUCGCUAGGGACGAAGCGUUUUUGUGACGGUACCUGGAGAAGAAGCACCGGCUAACUACGUG